rnacentral:tRNA from 1 species
GGUAGCUGGCUCAGUGGUAGAGCACUUGCCUGGCGUGCGAGAGGCCUGGGUUCUGGCCCCAGCACCA